GGUACCCCCGCCGCCCGCCCCGCCCCGCACUGUCGGGCCGGGGGAGAACACGGGGCCGUGGGCUGCUGGAGCGGGCUUGGUUAUUGCUCUAAUUUAUUUUUUUUAUUAUUAUUAUUGUCAUGAUCAUCAUCGUAAUUUAGGCUUCCACCCGUCGGAGAUUCACCGAAGAAAGAGCCUGGAGGGCCAGGAUUAAGCAGGAGCCCCCCCGCCCCGUGAUGGCAUCACCGAGGAGCUCCAGCCGUGCCCGCGGCGCAGGGGCGGGAGGCGGCGGGAGCUGAGCGGCCCCUCGGGACCGGGGCUGAGCCGCCGCCCUGCCGCCGGCCUGGGCGUCAGUAGCGGGGGGUCCUGCCCGUGAGCCGCUGGGAGUUUGUAAGACUCAUGGCUUAGACCCCUGGCUUUUGUGUUUAAUUUGGUUUCCACCCAUCCUAACUGCAGCGAAAAAGCUUUGAGACCAGAGCUCGAGGACAAAACCCCAAAGUUUGGUUUGGAGCAUUGUAAGAAGAGGAACGAAGGACAAACAUUCUGGCUGGCACCCACUGUGCUAAUGGAAAACAUGACAAACACCACUUUGCCAUCAACUGCUCAUCACCAGCACUCUGCUGCGAGCUGCCCCAUCCAGCAGACUGUUGGGUAAACCCUUCAUAGGAGCAUUUCUUUGCCUAGUCCUCUCCAAGUGAGCUGAUGUGCCACUAUUUCAGCUCUUUGAACUAACCAGUCUCAAAUUAAUGGUACUAAACCCCAGAGCAUGGUCCUGAGUUACUCAUCUGAGGUCUGUGAUGCAACAUAAGAAAGAGGAACACAAUUGUCUUCUUCCUGCUGACAGGGAAGGUGCUGGUGUCAGCUGCUUUCACCAUCAUUCCCGACCUGCUAGUGGCUGUAACAGAGCAGGGGAUGAAAACUUUGGGCCCCUCUCCUGUUAACAUUCACUGUGAUGAAAACAGGCUGCAAUGCAGGCUCUUUCUCACCUGUCCCUGGAAGUGAGACCUCAUGACUCACCUAUCUGAGUGAGGUGCUUGUGGCACCUCAAAAUUAACAAGCUAAAAAAAAAAAAAAUGAAUAGAUGAUGUUUAGAUUGGGGUGCUUAGUACUUACAGUAUAUUCUAGAUCCUUUUCAUAAAAUACAACACUACUACUUUAUUUUCUUGAAGUGUUAUCUAUUUUAUGGUGAGGAAAACAGAAAUGAAGAAACCAGUCCUUACUUCCUCAUGUGGAAGCUUUCCCAGCUUGCCAAAUCAUUAACAAAUGUUUUAAGCAGCAAAGGGAAAAAAAUGUGCCGUUUGCUCAUAAGGCAAAACCAUGUGGACUACUAGAAAUUACACAAUAAUGUGAAAGGUUUACGCAAAAUAAGGGACAGGAAAAAGUGAAACCAACUGUAAAUAUCGAUAAGAGUUAAGUCAUAGGGUAGCAAUUAAUACACAUUUCUUAUAUGUUCCAUAACUCUGGGAGACAGGCCUCCACAAAGAAUCACCAUUCACAGAAAUAAAGCAAAAGCAGUUAAGGCAACAUGAAUGCAUAUUGCAGGAAAAUAAUUAAAAUCAGGCAAUUAAAGGCAUACAAAGUUGUAUUUUUAGUUGGAAUCAAUUGCUACCAUUUUGAAAGGGGUAAUUUAAAACCAGAUAAGCCUGUAGAACAGAUGUUCAACUAUGCAACAAACCAUGCCAUAGGACAUUAGUUAAGGAGUUAUUAGUUAAGGAGUUAUUAGUUAAGGACAUAAGUUACGUACUUCAAAAUGGCUUCUCUUAAAAGAACAGGGCAACCAGGAUCUCAGGUUUCUAAUUUACCACAUUUUUUAUUAAAGAGGAUGUUGAGAUAAAAGCAGAGAGAUUUCUUAGUAAUAGAGAGAGAUAGCAUAUUUGCAGAGAGAUAGCAUAUUUGCAGUCAGGAAGCAUUUUGCAUUCCCUGAGCUUGGACCGCAUGUGUUUAAGGUCACAAACUACACAUAGGAUCAACACAGCACCACCUUCUUUCAUUUCCCUCCAUCUUGUUUCCCAAUUGCCCACCUUGAUCCCAUCCUGCAUUCAACACACACAUCUUGUAGGAGUAUUUGCAUCCUCAGAAGAAAACUGAAAAUGAAAUUUAAAAAAAGAAUGCAAAAAUCACUGCAAGGUGUGUAACUCACUCAAAAUCAAUAGUGGCACGAACUCAUUUGGUCUCUCCUAGGACAACAGAAUUUGCCAGCUGGUCAGAAGGACCUUCAUGACGUUGGCUGGCAAAACCUUGCUGGUCUUUAGAGUUGCGUUUGACGUGGCAUAAUGAAAUGCUAACCUGACCUCAUUAGCUUAGAUACCUCCCUGUCCUUUGGGAAAACAGAGUUGUGCAAUAUAGCCUGUUUUAAUAACUGCUGGCAAAUGCAGGCCAGCCUUUUCAGUCCAGCAAUCGCAGCCGGGUAAGUUGUAUGUCAGUCCCAUUUUUUUUCACUUGGCUUAAAACAGAGGAAUAAUCUUGCUGUAAAAAUUCUACAUUAAAAAUUGUUUGCUUGAAUGUGUAUUUUUUUCAAACUGUCAGAAAAGGAGUAAAUUCAACCCUGACUCUCUGCAUUUCCCAAGGACAGCCUCAGUUACAGUCUGUUCUCAAUUGCUCAGCUAUGAUAGUAGAUAGUAAAACAAGUAUCUGAUAGAAUAUAUCCUGUAAGAGAGACAGUCAUUUAUAUCGAUUCUCAUGACUUAUGAACAUCAUAACUUCAGUUGAUGUAAAUAUAUACCAGUGACUAGGUAUCUUUAACAAAAUACAAUACUGCUAAAAGCACAAAAAAGAGACUUCAGAGUUGAAUUUCAGUGAACAAAAUAGAUUUUGUAGUGGGCUGAAUCAAGAGAGAUUUGCUUUUCUACAGAAUGUUAAUAGUUGUUACAGUAGGAAAGAAAAAAGAGCAGAAAUGCUGCUUUAAUAUUAGUGUCCUACUCUAAAAAGUAAGCCUGUACUUGAAAACUCUUAAGUACAUGAACAAGAAACAAGACUGCAUGACACAGCCUAAUGCUGCAAAAGUAAAGGACUGGCACAAUAGCUGCCAUUAACAGUAAACAAACAGAAGUCACUGAAACAGCUAUCUAUGAAGGCAGGGAUGCUUUGUCCUGCAUCACCAGAAGUAAAAAUAAAGAGUGUUUUUUAUUUCAUUGGCUAUAAAUAGUUAAAGUCCCACAGUCCCGUAGGUUCAGUACCUUCAUCAGGAAAGUCAGAAAAGAAGCUCCAUCUGGUGGCAUGGUUGAUUGUAAUUGCUUUUCAAUUUCAUCUAAUUGUAAAUACAUUCCUCUUUAGCAACAACAUGACAAAUUGAAGUAACAUGUAAAAGAUCACCUGUUGUGCAAGUGGAACCAGCAUUGUCUAACACUUGAAGAUUGGAAAACACUCUAAGAUCGGAAAACACUCUAAAAUCAGGACCUUUUCUUAUUUGAGGCAAAUCAGUUGAAGCCUUUCAAUACAAGGCAUACAUGAUCCUGUCAGGGUACUAAUCUGGAACAGAAAAAGAUUAUCAUACAAAAAUGAAAGGAUGCAUUAGGACACUUCAAGAGGUGAUCUGCUGCAGCCUGGGGUGGGGAGAAGAGAAGGCAGAAAUCACUGGUUAAAGGAUGAAAGAGGAGGAGGUGUGUAAAUGUGAAGUCAAGGUUGCUGCUGAACCUGUCACAUAACAGUUCAUGGAACAUUUACAGAGGUAUUAAAAAGAAUAUUGCCGUGUGUCAUAAUAAGGAAAUAAACCAUUCUUCAGUUAGUUAUUUUUUAUAAGAAAUUAACUUUUCUUCAAUGAUCAGAUGGCAAUUUUGUUGCAAAGAUGUCUUGAAAAAAAAAUCUUGAACUCUUCUAGCUGUAACAGAUUUGCAACAUCUUAGUAUGAAAACAAAGUAGAUGCUUGAAUCAAUUUCUUCUUUAGGAAGCUGUUUUCUUCUUUCCUGCCUCCACUAUAUUCUUACCACCUGAGCUGUGAAAAUUGUAGACAUGGACAAAAGCAAUGAAGGAACCUGGAUGCACAGAACAGCUUAGCAAAAAUAAAAGAUCGGGCUGACCAACACCUAUACUGGCUAUUUGUGAAGAAUUGCUGAACAAAAUGCUGGUGGCCAGAGCACAAAGUGUAGCUGUAGGCCUUACUGAACAGUAUUCCAGUCCUGCUCUGGAGAUGUGAUUGGAUUUCCUCACGGGAUCUCCAAUUGUGCUCACAGUAUCUUCAAGUGCCUCCAAAAUAGUAGACUACUAUGAGAUGAAGUUUCCUGAUUUUACCAUUAGAGAGCUGAGCUGUGGAAAGGCCAAGGUAAAAAGUGUCCAUUUAUUCUAAGUGCUCAUUUUGGAAGUGUGCAACUUGACCGUUGAAGUUGCUUAUGAGUAUAGAAUAUUUUUCAUGGACUCAGAGCAUCACUCCUUUUGAUUUCAGCUAGAGCUCUAAGUGCUCAGUACCUCUGAAAUCUGACUGCUUGCGUUAUCAGGAUAGAAAGUUAGCAAUAUGCAACAGGUAGCCAAGUUAGUUUAAGCAAUUUGCAUAGCACUGCUAGAUGCUUAAUGUCAGGUGCAGCAAUAAAAUUUAGUCCCUUUAGGCUAGAAAAUCACUUGCCUCCAUGGUAGGACCAUCCUUUGCCUUCUUGCAUUCUUUGUAAUUUGAAGCAAAUGAAGUCUAAGUUCUCCAGCCACGUAUGUAGUAUGUGAUCAUGGCAUUAAAAUCUUAUCAAAGAAUGUUAUCAUGAUUCAUAUCAUCAUGAAUUGGAAUUGCAACCUUAAUAAAGUUCUUUUAAACUCUUUCUUCCUAGUACUGGCUUGGCACAAUUCAGGGCAGUUCCUUUUGCAAGCCAUCUGCAGAUAAUACAUAGUUCACAUUUUUAUAUUUAAGAAUAAGUUUAGCUAAAUAUGUUUCAUUUGCUGGUAUCUGGAUACUAAUCUGCUGUACUGCUUCUGUCUCCAUUUUCAUAUCCAACUAAAACAAAAGGACAAAUCCCACGUCUCCUAUUUCUUUUCGCUCCCAAACUGAAGAGACAUUUAAAGGCUGCUACUUCCAUGAUUCAGUGCAUAAUUUCUAAUGUCUCUGUAAUAUGAUAGACUGUGAAUGCAACCUAAUGGUGCCAAAACUGAGUUGUUUAUCUUUUUACUCGGUGAAGCAGAAGGACUCAACUCUCUUCAGUUUGAAAAUACUUCAAGAAGAAGCCACUCCUUGUAAGGAAUUCAAAAACAAUUCAGUUGAAAGAAGACACUUUGUUUCCAAAAUAAAGAUGUUCUUGAAGAAGAAGCAGUGCCAUUCACACCCUGCUCUGUCUCCUUGCAUUUAAUUUCACUUAUUUUUAUAUGCUGUUUUCAACUUAUCCCACCAAGUGAAGAAGAAAUGGCAUUUCUUACUUCUCCCACAAGAAGGAUGCAUUCAUUCCCCAAAAGAAGUUCCUUCCUUUUCACUCCAAAGGUUUAUCUUGGCCGAAUGCAGAGGAUUUUUAUUUAACUGUGAAGCCUGUGUCACUUUCAAAUUUGAAGAUUAAUGAUUCUAUGUAAAAUUCUAUGUCUCUUUCCUGCCGGAUGUUCAGGAGGUGUCUUAUCACUUUGGUUUACAACUGAAUCCCUAUAAUCAUCAUUUCUUGAUUCAUAUGACAGAACAGGAAGACCCGUAAAGUAGUAGUAUUCAACUACAAGAUGCAAAUCACUUUGUUUAUUUUUCACAUUUAAGUGCAGUGGAUAAAAGCAGCAAGAUGGUGACCUUUCAGUAUGUUCUGCAGAGAGCUCUAAUCCUCCAGGCAACCAGUGAAGUCUAAAAUAUAUGUUUAUACUCUUAUCUGUGCUUCCGUGUUUCAUAUAUUCUUACGUGUUUAUAGUCAUAUACAUGUGUAUAUUUACAUUAAUCUGAUAGUUACCUGUCACACAGUCUUUUCAAUACUUCCUGAACCAAACUUGCUUCCUCUGAUCCUGUGAGCCAGUUAAACAUUAGCUGCUCUCAAGCACUGUUGGAGGGUGGGGGCAGGGAUAAUUUUUUUAGUGUAUUUCUAGACUAAAACUUUGAAACUUGCUCAAAUGAAUGAAAUAUACAAUUCUAAUUUU